rnacentral:tRNA from 1 species
AAUGAGAUGCCUGAAAAAAAGGAUUAUCUUGAUAGGAUAAAUCAUGCAAAUUUAUUUUGCUCUCAUUA